rnacentral:rRNA from 1 species
UACGGGGGGGGCAAGCGUUGUUCUGAAUUACUGGGCGUAAAGGGUUCGUAGGUGGCCGGCUAAGUCAGACGUGAAAUCCCUCAGCUUAACUGGGGAACUGCGUCUGAGACUGGUCGGCUUGAGUGCAGGAGAGGAACGCGGAAUUCCAGGUGUAGCGGUGAAAUGCGUAGAUAUCUGGAGGAACACCGGUGGCGAAGGCGGCGUUCUGGACUGCAACUGACACUGAGGAACGAAAGCCAGGGGAGCAAACGGG